rnacentral:misc_RNA from 1 species
AACGCAAAUUGCGCUCUCUGGAUAUCAAGGGAGCAUGCCUGUCUGAGUGUCAUGUUAAAAUCAACACACUUCGGUGUGGCUAGGGAGAUUACGCAAAUCGUUGCCUGUAUCUCCAUGUGUCUGAAACCGACUGUUGUCUACUGGCACCGUUGGGAAGGCUCAACUCGCUUCUGUCCUUCUCCGACGGCGUUCCGGAUGCAACUGUUCACAAGGCUCUCCACAUACUCUUGCAGUCCAAUUUUACAUCUUUUACCUCACAUCAGACAAGACUACCCGCUGAAUUU